rnacentral:rRNA from 1 species
CUAAGUUAUUAAGGGCUACUGGUGGAUGCCUUGGCAUCAACAGGCGAUGAAGGACGUGUUUACCUGCGAAAAGCCUCGGGGAGCUGGAAAGAAGCUUUGAUCCGGGGAUGUCCGAAUGGGGAAACCCGGCGGGAGUAAAGUCCCGUCAUCAUUGACUGAAUACAUAGGUCAAUGAGGCGAUACCCACCGAACUGAAACAUCUCAGUAAGUGGAGGAAAAGAAAUCAACCGAGAUUCCCAUAGUAGCGGCGAGCGAAGUGGGAAUAGCCCAAACCGUUUUCCUUGUGAAAGCGGGGUUGUAGGACCGUUCAAAAGAUCAGUAAUCUCUAACAGAAGACCUCAGGAAAGUGGCACCAUAGAGGGUGAUAGUCCCGUACGUGAAAGAGAGAGCUGGCAGGAACGGCACCUGAGUAGGGCCGGACACGUGAAACCCGGUCUGAAUCUGGGGAGACCACUCUCCAAGGCUAAAUACUCGUUGAUGACCGAUAGUGAACCAGUACCGUGAGGGAAAGGCGAAAAGAACCCCUGUUAGGGGAGUGAAAUAGAACCUGAAACCAGUAGCUUACAAGCGGUCAGAGGCCUAUGCUCCUUUUAGGAGAAUGGCUGAUGGCGUGCCUUUUGCAUGAUGAGCCAGCGAGUUGCGUUAUACAGCAAGGUUAAGGGACUACGUUCCGCAGCCGAAGCGAAAGCAAGUGUGAAUAGCGCGUUUAGUUGUAUGUCGCAGACACGAAACCAGGUGAUCUAACCAUGGCCAGGUUGCAGCAGGGGUAAGACCUUGUGAAGGACCGAACCAGUACACGUUGAAAAGUGUUUGGAUGAGCUGUGGUUAGGGGUGAAAGGCCAAUCAAACCUGGAAAUAUCUUGUUCUCUCCGAAAUAACUUUAGGGUUAGCCUCGGUUUAGACCAAAUUGGGGGUAGAGCACUGGAUCCCGGCGGGGGCUUCACCGCUUACCAAUGGGAACCAAACUCCGAAUACUAAUUUGGAUACCGGGAGAUACACUGUGGGGGAUAAGCUUCAUAGUGGAAAGGGGAACAGCCCAGACCGUCGAUUAAGGCCCCUAAUUCUAUGCUAAGUGAGUAAGGAAGUGGAGUCUCAGAAACAGUUGGAAUGUUGGCUUAGAGGCAGCCACCAUUUAAAGAGUGCGUAAUAGCUCACCAAUCGAGAGACUUUGCGCCGAUAAUAUAUCGGGGCUAAGUAUAGAGCCGAAAUCACGGGUGAAGAAAAUCUUCGGAUUUUCUUCGCGGUAGGAGAGCGUAGUAUAUGCGUCGAAGGUAUACCGUAAGGAGUACUGGAGCGUAUACUAGUGAGUAUGCAUGGCACGAGUAUACGAUAAAGGAAGUGAGAAUCUUCCUCGCCGAAAAUCCAAGGUUUCCAGGGUAAAGCUCGUCUUCCCUGGGUUAGCCGGCCCCUAAGCCGAGGCCGAAAGGCGUAGGCGAUGGGAAACAGGUUAAAUAUUCCUGUGCCACCUAAAAUUUAUGCAAUGGGGUGACGAAGUAUAUUAAGCACGCGGACUGUUGGUAGUGUCCGUACGGCUGUGAGGAUGGUUAGUAGGCAAAUCCGCUAACAUGAUUCCAGGCAGCUGUCAAGGGAAAGCUUAGGCGGAACCGAUGGUGUGGCGUUAAGCUUCCAAGAAAUAACCUCUAGCUGUUGAUGGUGACCGUACCAAAACCGACACAGGUGGAUGAGAUGAAUAUUCUAAGGCGCGCGAGCGAACUCUCGUUAAGGAACUCGGCAAAUUAUCCUUGUAACUUCGGGAAAAAAGGAGCCACAGGGUGUGAUUAGACUUGCUCUAUGAGCAUCAGGUGGCCGCAGAGAAAUGGCCCAGGCGACUGUUUAUCAAAAACACAGCACUAUGCAAAGACUUUAAGUCGAAGUAUAUGGUGUGAUGCCUGCCCAAUGCCAAAAGGUCAAACGGAGGUGUUAGCUUUGGCGAAGCACUGAAGUUAAGCCCUGGUGAAUGGCGGCCGUAACUAUAACGGUCCUAAGGUAGCGAAAUUCCUUGUCGGGUAAGUUCCGACCUGCACGAAUGGCAUAACGAUCUGGGCGCUGUCUCAACGAGAGGCUCGGUGAAAAUGUAGUAGCGGUGAAGAUGCCGUUUACCCGCGACAAGACGGAAAGACCCCGUGAACCUUUACUGUACUCUGAUAUUGGCUCCUGACUUGUCAUGUGUAGGAUAGCCGGGAGACGUUGAAAGUGUGUCGUCAGGCAUGCUGGAGUCGUCCUUGAAAUACCGGUCUUGGCAAGUUGGGAAUCUAACGAAGUCCCAUGAAUCUGGGAUUCGGACCGUGUCAGACGGGCAGUUUAACUGGGGCGGUUUCCUCCUAAAAAGUAACGGAGGAGUCCAAAGCUUACCUCAUCAUGGUUGGUAAUCAUGAGUAGAGCGCAAAGGUAUAAGGUAAGUUGACUGCGAGACCAACAAGUCGAGCAGAGACGAAAGUCGGGCUUAGUGAUCCGGCGGUAGAAUGUGGAAUCGCCGUCGCUCAACGGAUAAAAGGUACUCCGGGGAUAACAGGCUUAUCGCCACCAAGAGUUCAUAUCGACGUGGCGGUUUGGCACCUCGAUGUCGGCUCAUCGCAUCCUGGGGCUGUAGAGGGUCCCAAGGGUUUGGCUGUUCGCCAAUUAAAGCGGUACGCGAGCUGGGUUCAAAACGUCGUGAGACAGUUUGGUCCCUAUCUGUCGUGGGCGUAGGAUACUUGAGAGGAGCUGCUUCUAGUACGAGAGGACCGAAGUGGACGAACCACUGGUGUUCCGGUUGUCCUGCCAAGGGCAUUGCCGGGUAGCUAAGUUCGGAAAGGAUAAGCGUUGAAAGCAUCUAAACGCCAAGCCUCCCUUUAGAUAAGGUAUCCCAAUUAGACCCCUUAAAGACGAUAAGGUUGAUAGGCAGGGUGUGUAAGCAUAGUAAUAUGUUGAGCUAACCUGUACUAAUAGGUCGAUUGAUUUAGUCAC